AGUGAACGCUGGCGGUAGGCCUAACACAUGCAAGUCGAACGGCAGCACAGUAAGAGCUUGCUCUUACGGGUGGCGAGUGGCGGACGGGUGAGGCAUACAUCGGAAUCUACUUUUUCGUGGGGGAUAACGUAGGGAAACUUACGCUAAUACCGCAUACGACCUACGGGUGAAAUCAGGGGAUCUUCGGACCUUUCGCGAUUGAAUGAGCCGAUGUCGGAUUAGCUAGUUGGCGGGGUAAAGGCCCACCAGGGCGACGAUCCGUAGCUGGUCUGAGAGGAUGAUCAGCAACACUGGAACGAGGACACGGUCCAGAUUCUAACGGGAGGCAGCGGUGGGGAAUAUUGGACAAGGGGGGCAAGCCUAAGCCAGCCAUACGGCGGAGUUGAAGAAGGCCUUCGGGUGGUAAAGCCCUUUUGUUGGGAAAGAAAAGCAGCAGGUUAAGACCCCGCUGUUCGGACGGUACCAAAAGGAUAAGCACCGGCUAACUCCGU
rnacentral:rRNA from 1 species